GAGGUGAGAAAGGAGAAAUCUGCUUCACGCAGAAACAUCUCCUGUUCCUUCCUCCACUGGAGGUCUUCAAGGCCUCCGCAAAGCCAGUGAAUAGAGAAUCUUGGUGGUGAAAAGGAGGAAUUUGCUUCAUGCAAAAAGCCCUGCUUUUCUUUCUCUCCCUAAGGUCUUCAGGGCCUGAGAAGAGAAUAUUUGAGGUGAGAAAGGAGAAAUCUGCUUCACGCAGAAACAUCUCCUGUUCCUUCCUCCACUGGCGGUCUUCAAGGCCUCUGAAAAGCCAGUGAAUAGAGAAUCUUGGUGGUGAAAAGGAGGAAUUUGCUUCAUGCAAAAAGCCCUGCUUUUCUUUCUCUCCCUAAGGUCUUCAGGGCCUGAGAAGAGAAUAUUUGAGGUGAGAAAGGAGAAAUCUGCUUCACGCAGAAACAUCUCCUGUUCCUUCCUCCACUGGCGGUCUUCAAGGCCUCUGAAAAGCCAGUGAAUAGAGAAUCUUGGUGGUGAAAAGGAGGAAUUUGCUUCAUGCAAAAAACCUGCUUUGCUUUCUCUCCCUAAGGUCUUCAGGGCCUGAGAAGAGAAUAUUUGAGGUGAGAAAGGAGAAAUCUGCUUCACGCAGACACAUCUCCUGUUCCUUCCUCCACGGAAGGUCUUCAAGGGCUAUGAAAAGACAAUGAAUAGAGAAUCUUGGUGGUGAAAAGGGGGAAAUUUGCUUCAUGCAAAAAAAUCCUGCUUUUCUUUCUCUCCUGGAGGUCUUCAGGGCCUGAGAAGAGAAUUUCUGAGGCGAGGAAGGAGAGGUUUGCUUCAUGCAGAAACAUCUCCUGUUCAUUCCUCCAGUUGAGGCCUUCACGGCCUUUUAAUGGGGAAUCUUGGAGGUGAAAAACGCGGAAAUUUGCUUCAUGCAAUCUUCUGCUUCUGUAUCUCUCUGCCAGAGGUCUUCAAGGCCUGGAAAGAGAAUGUUGGUGCUGAAAAAGGAGUUUUCUUGGUGCCAUCUCCUGCUGGAGUUUCUCCACCUAAGGUCUUCAGGGCCUUAGAAGAGGCUAUUUCCAGUGGAAUAAAGGAGACAUUUGCUUCAUGCAGAUGGAGCUCCUGCGGAGUACCUCACCUCAGGCCUCUAAGGCCUUUUAGUUGAGAAUGGAUAAAGACUAUCGGAGGUGCAAAUGGAGGAAUUUGCUUCAUGCAAACCAUCCCCAGCUUCUCCUUCUCUGUGUAAGGUCUUCAUGGCCUCCAAGGAGAAUAGCCGAGAUGGAAAAGGAGAACUUGGCUUUAUGCCAACCAUCUCCAGCUUCUAUGUGUUUUUCGAAGGUAGUCAAGGCCAGGAAAGAGAACAUUUGCAGUGAAAACGGAGUAAGGGGCUUUAUGCGGACAAUCUCCAGGUUUUAUUUCUCCAAGGUCUUCAGGGCCUCCGGAGGAAAUAUUUCGGGCUUCAAAGGAGCAGUUUGCUUCAUGCAAACCAUCUCCUGCUUUCACUUGACUCCCUAAGGUCUUCAAGACCUGAAAAGAGAAAAUUUGAGUUGGGAAAGGAGAACUUUGCUCCCCGCAAACAAUCGCCUACAUGUAUUUCUCUCUGUAAGGUCUUCAAGGCCGCAAAAGAGAAUUUCGGAGGCGAAAACGGAGAGAUUUGCUUCAUGCAAAACCAUCUCCUACUUUCAUUUCUCUCCCGAGGGUCUUCAAGACCUGAAAAGAGAAUAUUUGAGUUGGCAAAGGAGCUAUCUGCUUCAUGCGAAACCAUCUCCUACUUUUAUUUCUCUCCCUAAGGUCUUCGAGACCUGAAAUGAGAAUAUUUGAUAUAUCACAAGGAGACGUCGGCUUCCCACUUUCAUUUCUCUACCGAAGGUCUUCCGGACUAGGAAAAAAAAAUAGAUAUUUCUUUGCAACAAGGACAAGUUUUCUUCAUGCAAGCAAUCUCCUGCCUUUGUUUCUCUCCCUGUGGGCCGGAAAGCGUGAUAUAUGGGCUUAAAGAAGGAGAAAUCUGCUUCAUGCAAAGACCCUCCCAAUGAUCUGCCUAAGGUCUUCAAGACCUGAAGAGCAAAUAUAAGCCCGGGAAAGGGAGACAUUUGCUUCAUGCAGAAACAUCUCCUGGGCCAUUUCAGGUCCAUUUCAGGUCUUCAAGGCCUCUUAAUAAAGAAUGAAGAGAGGAUAUUGCAAUGGAAAAAGGAGGAAUUCACAUGUACACAACCCUAUCCACAAGGUCCCACUUUCAUUUCUUUACCCUCAGGUCUGCAAGGCCAGAGAAGAGAAUAUGUGGGUUGAAAAAGAGAAAUUUGCUUCUGUUGGACCAAUCUCCUUUUCGUUAUGCCACUUCUCACCUUUAAGGUGUUUUAACUGAGGAUGAAUGGAGAAUAUCCGCUGUGCAACUCAAAUCAUUUCCUUCAUGGGAAACAAAUAUACCCCUCUUACUUCCCUCCCUACGGAUUUCAAGGCCUGGGAAGAGAAUACAUAUGAGCCAGAAAGGCUUCAUGCCAAAAAAAAGUUACCAUCUGUUACUCCACCUAAGGCCUACAAGGCCGUUCAUUUGAGAGGUUCGAGAGACUCCGCAAGGCGGAAGAGGAGAAAGGUACUUGAGACGAACAAUCUCCUGCUUGAAUUGGUCUACCCGAUGCCUUUCAAAGCAUGACGAGAGAACAGAUGAGAUUGAAAGAGGAGAAAUUUGCUUCAUACAGAAACUCACCUGAUGGUUUUUCGACUUAGGGUCUUCAAGGCCUGAAGAGAAAAUAGAUGAUCUGGAAAAGGAGAAACGUGCUUGAUUUAGACACCUCUGCUGGGCCUGAGUCCACCUCAGGCCUUCAAGGCCUCUGAAUUGAGAGUGAGGUGAGAUUAUGUGAGGUGAAAAAGGAGAAGGUUGCUUCAUGCCAAGAGCCCAGUGGCCUUAUUUCUCUAGCCGCAGGUCUUCAAAGGCCUGCAAAAGGAAUAGUGGAGGUGGAGAAAGAGAACUUUGCUUUCUGCAUAAACUCUCCCGUCAUUGUAGCCACCUUUGUUCUACCAGACCUGAAGAGGGAAUAGAUGAGCUGGAAAAGGAGAAAUUUUCUUCAUACACAAAUGUCUCCUAAACGUAAGCCUGUAUCUGCAGGCUUCGAGGCCUUUUAAGGGGUGAAAGAACAAGGAAUAUUGGAGGUGGAAAAGGAGAAAUUUGCUUCAUGCAAAAAUUAUCCUGUUAAUUUGUCUGCCUAAGGUCUUCAAGACCUGAAGACAAAAUAGAAGAGCUGGAAAAGGAGACAUUGGUUGCUUCAUGCACAGUUCUCCUGCUUUUCUCUUACCUAAGGGCUUGAAUGACUGAAAAGAGAAUGUUUGGAGGUAGAAAAGGAGAUAUUUGCUUUAUGCCCAAAAUUGUUAGGCUUGAAUAUCUCUAACCCAGAGAGAGAGGACUAACUGGAGUGCCAAAAAACAGAGGAUAGAUUCAUACGCAGUCUGACUGGCUCCAUGCAAAAAUCUAACCGUUGGCUCUCCUGAGCUGUCUUUAAGCCCCAGCCCUGGUCUUUAUGGCUGGGGGUGUUGGGGAGAGAGAGCCAAGAGGUAAGAAUGGGGUUGAAGAGCUUCCUGCUAAUUCCCCCUAAGAAUCCCCAAAAGGGUUUUCACUCUUAUCCUUCCACUCUGCCUGCUCUGCCCUCUCAACCACGGACCAAGUCAUCCAACCUCUCUGUGCUACCUAACCAGCUCCUGCGUGCUAAGAGCUGCGAUGGUUUCGUGUGGAAAGGAUGGAGAAGGAAAGAGGGUCAGCCAGCAGCACUCAAGCAAGGCUCCGUAGACUGUUCCCCUCUAGAAGAAUCGAGAAUGAAGGACCGUCGGAUGACUGUUGGGUUUGGAGCAGAAAAUCCGGUUACCGGUUAAGAGGAAACUGUGUUGGAGCCAAGGCUCAGCCUUGAGCCUCUGGUCCAGGAUUUGCGGGGGAGAGAUGAAAGAAAAUUUGGGGUGGAGGAGGAGGGAUUUUGCUGCUGCGAUUUGACCAUGUGAAUAAAUUGUCCAGUUGUAUGGGGAAACAAAUUUGGAAAUUCUGUAGUGUUGAGUCAGGAUUACAAUUUCAAACCUGUAACGAUGAAAGCAAAACAGAGAGAACUCCUUGUCUUUCUCUGAAUCCUGGUUGACCGACACUAUGUCCAAUGGAAUGGGACUUUUCUCCCCUUCAGCUGAUAUAAAACAACGAAAACAUUUAUGCAAUCCAUCACGCCAACAUUUCAAAGUCAAUAAAAUAGCUAAAUAAAAUAAAAACUAAAAAUGUAGGACAAUCAAAUACAAUAAAAUAGUUUAAACUAAAAAUUAAUCUUAAAAUCACUGACAUAUAAAAUGACCGACAUAUAAAUCGAUGCACCGCUCAUUCCAUUGAACGUAGACGUCUGGGAUAUCUUAGGAUAGAAUAAAAAUACCAUGCAUUUGAAGACCAAAAGCAGCAAGGUUAAUCUCUCUGCCUUUUUUUUCUAAGGUGUUUAGGCGAAUGGCUUUCUGAACGCCAACUGACUGUAACACUAUAGACCCACUCCAAAGCUCCAAGGGAAAAUUCAGUGCAAUUUCAAGGCCGUUUUCCUUGGUACGCUUUGUUUAGGGCUAUCUGAGUAAUUGAGUACUUUUUCCUCGAGAUUUGGAAUCUGUCCAGAUUUGGGGGGCUGCUACUCUGGACUGGAUCUUGCCUGUCUGUGGUAAGCACUGGUAGGAGCAGAGGUAAGUGCCAGCCGGGAAGGGAGAGAUCUCCUAAUCGCCCUGAGGGGCUGGUUCAAGGGCUAUCCCCAGGGUGGCCCUGGGAGCGGGCAGGUGUUGCCUCGAUGAAUGUCAGUGCAUUUACCACCCGCUUUAGCUUUUCCAUUUUAAAAUCUGCUGGUAGGAUUUUUGUUGCCCACAUACAGCAAGGAGAGAAUCAGUGUUGGUCGCUGCGGCGGAAGAAAUGAAGUAAAGGUGCAGCGGUCCCAAGAAGGAGACUUGGCAUGCUGGGGUCUGCCAUCUUAGGCGUGGCCCACCGUCCCUGCGAUCCCAUCUUGCAGCGCGGGGGAGCAGGGGCGGCCCGGUGAGAGGGACCCGGGAAGGAGCGAGGUGCCCCACCAGGCCCGAGGAGGUGGGAUGGAGGGUCUGAGCCCACUGCAGCACUGCCACUCGGUGCCCCCUGAU